GAUGAACGUUGGCGGUGUGCCUAAUACAUGCAAGUCGAACGGAGACUGUAGCAAUACUGUCUUAGUGGCGAACGGGUGAGUAACGCGUUGGUGAUCUGCCUCGAAGUGUGGAAUAACCUCCCGAAAGGGAAGCUAAUACCCGCAUAGUCUCUCAAGGUUUAGAAAAUUGAGAGUAAAGGAUUUAUUCGCUUCGAGAGGAGCCUGCGUCCCAUCAGCUAGUUGGUAGGGUAACGGCCUACCAAGGCAAUGACGGGUAGGGGACCUGAGAGGGUGGCCCCCCACAAUGGAACUGAAACACGGUCCAUACACCUACGGGUGGCAGCAGUAGGGAAUAUUAGAAAUGGGCGGAAGCCUGAUCUAGCAACACCGCGUGUGCGAUGAAGGCCUUCGGGUCGUAAAGCACUUUUUGAGAGGAUGAGGAAGGACGGUACUCUCAGAAUAAGUCUCGGCUAACUACGUGCCAGCAGCCGCGGUAAGCACGAGAGUA
rnacentral:rRNA from 1 species